GUGUGGUAGGGUCCAUUUAGGAGAGAGUAGGGUGAGGUACUAGAGUCACAGAGCCUGCUAGUUGACAGGGUGUGGUAGGGUCCAUUUAGGAGAGAGUAGGGUGAGGUGAACUGUCAGGAAUAUAUGUUCCCAUACACCACAGAGUUUGAGUGUUCCCAUACACCA